AUACUUUUCUCGACCUUUUGACAAAGAUCAAAUGUAGUAUCUGUUUUUAUUAAUUUAAUAUCUGAUAUGUGGAUCAUGUGCCCACAAUAAUAUUAAAUUUAUUUUUUAUGGAGGAGAGCCCAUCAUAGUGGCAACACCAUCCUCCUUGGUACGCCUGCUACACCACUU
rfam:Hordeum vulgare subsp. vulgare, WGS project CAJW01000000 data, contig: morex_contig_65527